rnacentral:rRNA from 1 species
GGGGGGCAAACAACAUUUGAUAAUUCUGGUUUUCCUCCUCGUUAAACGAGGAGGGGGUUGGUGUUGGGGGUUCAAAAUUCUGGGGCCGGGUCUUUACACACUUAAGCAAUUCCGCCGGGGAGUGCGGGCGGCCAGCGUGAAAAUUCAAAAGGAAAUUUUCGGGGGACCCCCCCAAAGCAGCGGAGCAUGUGGUUUUAAUUUUGAAAGCAAACGCGAAGAACCUUCCCAGGGCUUGACAUAUGGGUAAAAGAUCUAGAGAUAGAUCCCUCUCUUCGGAGAUAGCCAUACAGGUGGUGCAUGGUUGUUGUCAGCUCGUGUCGUGAGAAGUUGGGUUAAGUCCCGCAACGAGCGCAACCCUUGUCACUAGUUACCAGCACUUCGGGUGGGGACUCUAGUGAGACUGCCGGUGAUAAACCGGAGGAAGGUGGGGAUGACGUCACAUCAUCAUGCCCUUUAUGUCCUGGGCUACACACGUGCUACAAUGGUCGGUACAGAGGGCAGCAAGACUGCGAAGUUAAGCGAAACUCAAAAAGCCGAUCCCAGUUCGGAUUGUAGGCUGCAACUCGCCUACAUGAAGUCGGAGUUGCUAGUAAUCGCAAAUCAGAAUGUUGCGGUGAAUGCGUUCCCGGGCCUUGUACACACCGCCCGUCA